ACCUCAGCAGCCCCAGGGCACAGCCUGCAGCCCUGGGUCCGGUGCCUCCCAAGGGUGGCCCGCAGCUGGGAAAGUGGCAGGCAGGGAUGACAGUGCCAGUGUGAGGGCCAGGCACCCCGAUCCUGGCACUCGCGGCACCCAGAUCCGAGCCAGGCGUGGAGAGGCAGCUGCCUGGCUGCGUUCAUGCUGGCCAGCGGCCUGGCUGUGCUGGGCCCAGGGGAAGGGCUCCUCUGUGAUGGGGACUGUGAUACCCACCUCAAAGGUCGCACAGCAGGAGAGUGACGUGGGAGCAUGGACGUGGAGUGGACGUCAUCCCAGUCGCUGGACCCGGGGUGACGCUCUGAAUGGUACAGAGAACAGGAGAGAGACCCUGGGGAUUAAAUAUAUUACAGGUAUGCCCAGGAACUCGAAUCAGCUGGAAUACAGGGAAAACCGAAACGCUUGUGGAGAAACACGAGAAGUCAUGGGCGCUGGAUCCAGACUCAGGUGACAGCCAUUUCCCAAGGGCCACAGUGGAAGGAAGAGCUGGCAGUCAGGCCUUCCAAACGGGGGGGAGCAUUUUCAUCCUGAUGCCCCUGACUCACCG